rnacentral:rRNA from 1 species
AUUGAACGCUGGCGGCAGGCCUAACACAUGCAAGUCGAACGAGUGGCGGACGUGUGAGUACUGUCUGGGAAACUGCCUGAUGGAGGGGGAUGACUACUGGAAACGGUAGCUAAUACCGCACACCAUCAGCUGUGCCCAGUUGGGAUUAGCUUGUUGGUGGGGUAACGGCUCACCAAGGCGACGAUCCCUAGCUGGUCUGAGAGGAGGACCGGCCACACGGGAACUGAGACACGGUCCAGCCUCCUAGGGGAGGCACAAUUGGGAAAUGUGGCACAAUGGGCGAACGCCGGAUGCAGCCAUGCCGGGGGUAUGAAGAGGGCCUUCGGGUUGUAAAGUACUUUGAGCGGGGAGGCGUUACCCGCAAAAGAAGCACCGGCUAACUCCGGGCAAGCGGCCGCGGUAUAC